UAUUCCUGGCUACGCCCCUGAGCGAGAGAGAGAAGAUGAUGAAAACAUCAAUGGCUUCCCUAAGGUCAUUCUCUGCGAGGUUUGUGGUUGCUCCGCUGAGGUCUAUUGUUCAGUUAAGGUUUGUCGGAACCACAAGCAAAGAGAGAUAGGCCGUAUCCCCGUAACCGAAGCUAAGAGAAAGUAAGGACCUACAAUCAAGGAUGUUGGGAAAGGUAGAGAUAGAGUUAUUUUCUAUAUUUUGCUCCCAUGUCUUGCUGCUUGCUUUGUUGUAUAUGUUCUUCCCGUUGGUUGUGCAGGGUGAAUGGGAAAAGGAGCUACCUUUGUUGGGUUUCUUGGUUCAAUAAGAAAAAGGAGGAAGCUUUAUACGUUUUUGGUCGUGCUUUCCUUGGGUUUCUUUGAGAGGUUGGUUUGACUGUUGUGGAGAGUUGUUGGUGGUCUUUUUGGGUUAGGAAAGGAUUCUGUUUAUGGAGUUAUAGAGGGCUGGAACAGUGGUACUUUUUGUAUUUGUUAUGUUACUUUUUUUCUUUUCUAUCUCAUUUGUCUAUAUUGAAUUGUGCUUAAGAACAGCCAAUGCUAUUGCCCAUUGUAUCUAGAUAUACAAAUUACUUUGUUAUAUACUACAGAAUAUGAGUAGCAAGAUAGAGUUACAAAAAAUUGCCCCCUUUUGUAAAAUAUGUUACUAUCUAAUUUUAUAAAGAACAUUUUUCUACCAUUGAGUUGGCUUAUCAGACUUGGAAUAUAUGUAGUUUGUUUUAAAUCUAACCUACAUAUGUAAAGGGUUUGUGAUGUUUCCUUCCUUAGAGGUAUAGAGUAUGGGUAUGUACACUUUAUAUGAAACUGUAAUUUGUCUUUACACAAAUUUUACUAUUAAUAGAAAAUUUCCUACUACGAUUGUUUAAAUAUGAGCUAUGAAAACAAGUUUGAGUAAAAAGUGAAGAAGAGGAUUAAUUUUUUUUUAAUAAUUUGAUAAUUCAAGAAGAGGGUGUUUGAACCUAACAAAUAUAACAAUGAUGUUAUAUAGAUUUUGUAGAUAUUCUUUGUGCUUUCCCGUGCAUCGCACGGGUUAGCGACUAGUUAGGGUUUGGUUUACGUUCAGUACUUUAUAUAUUCUUGGGUAAACUAUGUAAUUUGUCCCUAUCUUAUACAUUAUAUUUCAAUUUGAUCCCUAACCUUUUAAUUGUGUUAAUUUGGUUCCCAACAUUUUAGUAUUAUGUCAAUUUAGUUUCUACCGUUAUCUUUUGAAUGAAAAUUUAUGACGUAUCUAAUCGUCAAAACAAAAAAUUAGCUUACGUUGAUGAGACAAUAAACUUAAAUUUAAUUUUGGUCGUUUGUCAUGUUAGCAAUUUUCAUCUAAGAUAUAACAUCAGGAACUAAAUUGACACGACAUUGCAAGGUUAGGGAUCAAAUUGAAACAAUUGAAAGGUAAGGGAUUAAAUUGAAAUAUGGUGUAAAGAAUAAGGACCAAAUAUGUAGUUUACCCUAUAUUCUUUUAUUUUAAGAGUUAUUCUAUGGUACUUCAUAUUGUUUUAGUGGCUAUGGUACCCACUCAAAUCUUGACCAUUAAAUCUAAUAGUUUUUAAUCUUGAUUGUUUAUAUUCAAUUUAAGUGGAUACCAAUUAGUUAUCGAGAAGGCAAGUUAACAUAUAUAAAUGGUCUUAGUUUUUAUUUUAAAUGCUUGUUAAUUGCAUAUUACUGCUGCCCCCCUCUAUUUGCGUGCUCUUGGUUUGUUUUGUUUCCUCUUUCUCUUUCAUUAGUUUUAUUUCAAAGCAAUUGAUUGCAUAAGAUUCAAUAUUUGAGUAAUUCUAAGUGGAUUGGACUGAGACCUUGUGAAAAAUCAGUAGCAAUUACCAUUUAAUUGCUUUUUGUUUUAGAACCCUGAUUUAGUUACCAUGGUUUUUGAGUGGAGUUGUGGUGUGUUUUUCUGUUAGAACUUCUUUUCCUCUCUCUUGUGUGUGUAUUUAUUUCUUAAAAAAAAAAAAAUUUUGCUUUUUGUUUUGGUGGGUUAAUUUUGAAACUAUCCUUACUGGACUGGACUAAAUACCUUGAUAAAAAUCUACCUUAUUAGUCAAAUCCUUUAUGGAUGUGUUUAUUAAAUAAGUUAUAAUUUUUGCUUAUUAUGUUCUAUGUAUUGCUUCUGUAAAUGAGUCCAAACACUUAUAACAUAUUCUUUUAAAAAUAAUUACUAAUUUUAACAACUUAACUUAUCAGUAUGAAUAAUUUUCUCUUUGUUUCCUUUCCAAUGUCAUCUUGUGCUAGGAUUGAUUUCUUAAACCAUUAAGGUAAAAAUUAUAUACAUAAGAAUCAGUGAUGAAUCACAUGUACAUACAAUUGAAGUCCAUGUAAAAAGAUAACAUCUAGAAUGCAUAUGCACAUACAAUUGAAGUCAAUGUAACAAGAUCAAGCUCUAAAAUAGAGCUGAAACACUGUUAUGCAUCCACAAUCAUUUACAUUAUUACUCAACUUUCUGAUGGUAAGAAACUUCUCAAAGGUUAAUUAUAUCCCUUUUUUAAGCAUGUUGUUGUUUACUUGAUUUUUAUUUUUUAUAAUAAACUUAUUAUAUAUGAUUUUGAACUUGAUAUUGUCAGGUUGAGCUAGAUAAGCUAAAGUUCUCAAGUAAUUAUAGUUAUUUAAAUAAUAACUAAAUAUCUAAGGCUCUAUGCAAAGAGAUAUGCUCCUAACGAACAUCUUUGUCUUUUUAAAGCACUAAUAGUUAUACCAUUCAACUACAUAUGUGAUGCAGUGCAAGGGGCACAACCAACAACUUUUACAAAGCUAGGACAGCACACAAUACCCCAAAUUAACACACAGCUUUGUUUAGGAUGGACCCUUUCAUUUUGCUGCUACCUGCCAUUUUGCUUCUAAUGAGUUGCGGGUUUAAUUUGUUACUUUUUGAAUUGUUAGGGUUUAAUGCUUUUGAAACUAUAAAUUUUAAUUUGUUACAUUUCUAACUACUGGAUUUAAAAUAUAACUAUUUAAUCAUUUUUCUUUCUUUCUUUAUAUAUAUUGAUUAUAGAGAGCCCAGGACCUGAGCUGAAGCAUGCGAAUUUGCAAGGCACAGCGGCAAAGAUUUACAAUCCCAAAUGACCUCGUAGAAGACUCAAGAACAUACUUUCAAGACUACCAGUGAAGUCUCUCAUCCGAUUCAAGUGCGUAUCCAAAGCAUGGCACACUUUGAUCAGUCGCCAAUUCGCUAAAUCCCAUUUUCAGAGAGCAUCUCAAAAACCCAGCAUGAACGUCCUUGUUUUUAGUAACAAUUGUGGUUUAUCGUUAGGUUAUGAAACACCAUUUCAAACCCGUGCUCUUGGUCAACCAGUUGAUGUUGAU